GCAGAUUGUGCUUUUGGCGAGGCGCCUUCCGAGUUCCCUGGAACGGGACGCCACAGAGGGUGAGAGCCCCGUCUGGUCGGCCGCCGAGCCUCUGUAAAGCACCUUCGAGGAGUCGAGUAGUUUGGGAAUGCUGCUCAAAAUGGGAGGUAUAUGUCUUCUAAAGCUAAAUACCGGCCAGAGACCGAUAGCGCACAAGUAGAGUGAUCGAAAGAUGAAAAGCACCUUGAAAAGGGGGUUAAACAGUACGUGAAAUUGUUGAAAGGGAAGCGCUCGCGACCAGACUUGGGCCCGGCGGAUCACCCAGCGUUCUCGCUGGGGCAUUCCGCCUCGUCCCAGGCCAGCAUCGGUUCGCGCCGGGGGACAAAGGCGGCGGGAACGUGGCUCCCCCGGGAGUGUUAUAGCCCGCCGCGCAAUGCCCUGGGGCGGACCGAGGACCCGCGCAUCUGCAUGGAUGCUGGCGUAAUGGUCACCAGCGACCCGUCUUGAAACACGGACCAAGGAGUCGUCUUCGUAUGCGAGUGUUCGGGUGUCAAACCCCUACGCGUAAUGAAAGUGAACGCAGGUGAGAGCUUCGGCGCAUCAUCGACCGAUCCUGAUGUUCUCGGAUGGAUUUGAGUAGGAGCAUACGGGGCCGGACCCGAAAGAAGGUGAACUAUGCCUGUGUAGGGUGAAGCCAGAGGAAACUCUGGUGGAGGCUCGCAGCGGUUCUGACGUGCAAAUCGAUCGUCA
rnacentral:rRNA from 1 species